CCAUGGCACCUGUGCGAGCAAGGAGGAAAUGUGGGAUUGGUUUGUUGUCUUUUCGUGCAAAGGGACAGGGCUGAGCUCCUGGGAUGCCCUUACAUGCGCUGACCAAGGCGGUUCCCAACUGGAAGAGUUCAGCACUUUGCUACCCAUCCAGGCAAGCAGCCUGGCUGCCUCCUGCUCUUCAUGCCUCAGCUGAGGCAGAGCUUUUGGCUGUGGGGACAUCGCCAGGUUGUCAAUGACACCCAAUAGCACCCAGCCAGCAAACCUGCACCUGGCAUGAAAUAGGCCUGGGAAGGUCCUGCUCCACCCCUGGAGUGCUGGGAGGUUGGAUGAGGGUCUGGGUACAGAGGAUGCUUGACAACACCAGCUAGAUGUCAGCUCUCAGAAGAGCCAGCAGCCACCACCCCGCAGCCGUGGCCCUGCUGCGCUCCGUGUCCAUGCAAACACUCACUCACAUGCAUCCUGGCUCCGAGGCAACGACAGUGAGCAGAUGGAAGGGACUUGCUGCAGUCCCACGUUGAGGCAAUGACAAAGCCGCCACCAGAGCACAAGGUCAGCUCCUGCUCAGAGCAUCCCUGCUGUGCCGUGGGCAUGGUGCCGAUGCCUGCAGCUUCCACUACCUGCAGCUCCUCAUGUCUUUUGGGAGGGAGUUUUGUUCCCUUUCAGCAGUCGCUUGGCUUCAGCUCGGUGACAGCAGAGCCACGCUUGAGGCUGUGCAGUCGCCUGCUCCAACACCAGACUCUGCGGGAAGAGGUUUCCGCUGGAGACGCACAAAUCUCUUUACCACGGGAGACUGGAGACAUCUGAGAGUGGGGAGGUCAAAUUGGCACUUAAUGAGCCAAUUAAGUCAGAAGAGGGAGAAACAAGUCUCAGAGCAGGGAAGGCAUCUCCUGACUUGCAUGCCCCCAGCCCCUCUGCCCCCUGUCCCAGCUGCUGGAUUAAAGACUCAUUAAAUGCCUGUGCGAACAUGCGCUUGCUGAGGAGGUGGAGGCUGGCUCUGGGGAGGGUGGCAGAGCUGGCCGUGCCUUGGGAAGCAUCAGGGGGAGCAGGCAGCGCUGCCACAGGCAGGACAGGGACAUGGCUGGGGACGAGUCACCUGCAGCGAUGACACCGGUGCCGCAGCAUGAGGCAGAUCCAGCUACAGCACAAGCCCUGCCCUUGGGAGCCAGAGAGAGCUGCCUUCAGGGUGGCCAGGACGGGGAUGUGGGGCAGCUUUGAGGCUAGUUCAGCAACCUGCUAGGAGCAAGCGAGUCGUGCAGGUGUGGGAGAAGUUGUCAGGGCUGCAGGACUGCUUUGUAGCUCGGGCACCGUGUCCUUGCUGUUAGAAGCAAGCAAUGAGAAAGCACAAAACCUCACAGAAGGAGGUAGGAUGGAGUCUGGAGCCAAAAAAAGCUGGGGCUGAGAGGAACACUGAGGUUGCUGUAGCUUUCUCCAUUUCUGGCAGCAUCAGCACUCCUUCUACCACAUCUAAAGCAGGGUCCUGCAGCUUCACCCUGUGGUCAGAUCUCACACCUGACUGCCAUCAUCACCAGCAUCAUCACCAUCAUCGUGUGGCCGGCCAGACAGCAACGCAGCACAGGGAGGGAGUGUGCCUGUUGCUGGCACCAGCAGCCUGGGGAUGGGCUCAGAGCAAGGGCUCCCUGGCACAGGCGGGUCCUGAGGAGCACGAGACUCACGGCUGGAUGACAAGGAGAAGCUUCUUCUGAGCCCUGCCACGGCCUUCAGACAGACAAAGACACCAGCCAGCAGAGAAGCUUUAUGCUGCUAGAUUAGUUCCUUGGGUGAUUAAUUGCUCUCACCAUUAAAGAACAGUGGCUAUUAACAGCUUUUCUACUUGCUCCAUUUUGGACAUUCAUCUACUCACUUUGCUCUGCACUGGCAUAAAUCAGAGCAGUUCCACUGAUGGCUUUAUUCCAGGAGAGAAUUCAUCUCCAGACAUUUGUAUUUUGGAAAAGAGAAGUGGCAGAAGCAGAUGCUGCUGGCCAGGGAUUGGGGAGAAGUUGUACAGAUGACCAAGGCAGAAGUACUGUGGCUUUGGAUGGGCAUGGUGAAGGGCAGGCAGCAUCCUCCAGACCUUGAACAGACCUGAGGCUCUAGAGCUCCAAUCUGGUUUCAAUCCAACCGGAUUUUGGUGAGUUAGAGGAUAAGGCUCAAGCUGGGCAGGCACUAGGUCCCCAUACAGCAAUAAAGACCAGAAUUUUCCAUCUGCGUACUAGUCUGGAUGACCCUUGGAUUAAAGACAUCCCUGAAAACCAGCACACGGUGAAGAAAAAGACAUCCCGUGUUCCGUGGGAUAAAGCUUCCUCAGCACAGGAAUGCCCCUCUGGCUCUGAUGUCCCCGUGUGUGAAGCAGAGCGUGCGUCCUGAGCAAAGGACACAAAUGAACAGCACAGGCAAGAUCAGAUUAUGCGAAAUCCCCUGCUCACUUGACCUCCUUCACGUCCCAUCUUCUAUUUAUAUGCCUCGGGGCUGCCAGGGACAGUGCAGGUUGUCCUUGGCCCACAGUGGCAGGGCUAGGGGUUCAGCUGGGGGGUUGGGGUUAGACUUGGCCCCCGGAGCUGGCUGCCACCGUCUGAGAAAAAGAAGUUUGAAGGGUUUCCUCCUAUCAGCGUUGGCUGUAGGGUCUGUUCCCCCUCACUGGAGGUGAUAACUGAAAUGCUAACCUGGACUAACCUCCUUGUCGAGGGACACACAGUCCAACAGGUAUCGCCUGGGCUUCCAUGCUUGGGUUUCCUCAACAAGUAGUGAUUUAUUCUUUGGUUUACGUGACAUUUCACGAGAAGGUCCUUGCCAGGGGCCAGGGCUGCUUAUUGAUGUCUGCUCUGUUUGUCUUUCUCAUGUUCCACCCCUCCGCUGCUCACCACCCAUGCUUGUGCGCUCCGUGGGCUUAGGGAGCUGGAGAUGCUGCUGACCUGGAGCCCAGGGCUUGGUCUCAGUGUUGGUCCAGCGCAGGGCGACACAGGUCAGUAAGAACCCAAAGGAACACCCAAAAGAACCUGCUGGAAGAGCCACAUCUGCGAGAAGAAUCAUCUUCCAUGGAGAACUCUUGGAGAGGGAACAGGUUGGGGACUUUGUGGAGCAGGGCUGGACUAUGGCAAAUCAAAGGAGGCACUUUGGGGAAGCAAAAUGUGGGUUUGCCUUCACUGCUGCUAUCUCAGACCUCUCGCCACAGGCUGGGCACGAUUCCCUGGGCCCCACGAGGGUUAUUUUCUUAGGACAUGGAGCCAGGGCCAUGGAGAGAAGGAGCAUUUGGUGCCUGCAACCUCUCCCCCCACAAGGACCCUGGUCGCACCCCACACGUUGCGCUGCAAGGUGAGAACCGACCCUCUGCACCUCAGGCUGGAGAAAACAGAGCCGGUAGCUUGGCAUCAUCUGGAUUUAAAUUUCCAGCUUAGUCCCCUCUGGGAAGCAGGACGUGACCUCCUCAUUUCCACCACCCAGGCAUGGCUGGCAGCCAGCAGCAGCGGCACAGGGCUCUGCAUCUCCGGGCUGAAGCAAUCAGCGCACAGCAGGCAUGCACAGACAGCUGAAUUUCUGUACGACUUUAAAUACAUUAGCAAGGCCACAAACACAGCUCCAAAGUGCCGCAAGUGCAGCUGAGCUGAUAAAUCACCCCCAACCCCACCAGCAAGAAAAUAUCCCCCCAUCAUUCCAUGGGAGACAAGGCUUAGCACCACUUUCCCCCUUGUAUCUGGAGCAGAUCCGCUCUCUGCCUUGUUGUAUUUGAAUCCAGUACCACAAGGGUCAAUUGUAUGCCACUUCUGCGGAGUCAUUAUACUGUUGGUUAUAUAAAUGUCUGGGCAUGCACAAAAGGCAGUGCUGAUACAGUGACUCCAACACCAACUCCCUCCAACACCUGCUUUUCAGCUGGAGAGAAAGCCGAGCACAAGAACAUCUCGAGAGCUGUCACACAGAAAGCUGCUGUCUUUCAAGCUGAAUGGAGGUCUAAAUAGCUCUCACAUCUCCUUUAGAAUCUCAUUUCUAAAUGCAAUUAAUACUGGCACAUGCAUAAUGAGAGACUGACGAGUGAAUACAGAUGCUGGCAAUAAAGAAGCCAGCCCCGAGCGCUAUGUAAGUAUUACAAAUCCUCACUAGAAGCUGACCUGGGAAGACAGCUUUCCAAUGAUUAAAUCCAAGUGACAAUAUGACUGGAUUCCUACAUCUGUCACAAUACUACCUGCCGACACAUAAUGAGCUACGCUAAAAGAACUAGCUCUUGCUGCUCUUCAAUGCAGAUAAAAUGCCUAUUCAUAGAAUGUAAUUAAUCUCUUCUUCAAAAUCAGGAACCUUAGUGUCCUUGGUAACAACAUGGCAGUGACUCAGAGAGCGACUCCAGCUUUUUCUUCUGAUUUUCAAGUGAGUUGUUGAAAGUGACCCCAAAUUCUAGCACUGAAAAGGAGCUGUGCUUCAGAAAUGGAAAAGCCAGCUGGGUAUCUGGAGGUGGGGACAGGUUUUACCCAUGUCUCCGGUCUCUGCAGGCUCCUUUGGCAUCUUAAGGAGGCUCCUGGGCUUGUUUCAGCCAUUUUCCCUAGGAUGAGACCAGUCUUGUCCCAAGACCUGAUCCCUCAACCCACCGAGCACGAAUUCCCUUUUGUCAUCAGGUGUAGCCACACCGGGAAUAACACUGAAAGCAGAGCAAGGGUGCGAAUCGCAGGUUGAAGCUGGUCUCUGCCUGGUUUGCACAGGCAACACCCGCUGUGCGACUGCACCAGGUGCGUGUACACAUGCACACAUGCGUGUGGCUUCUCCCUCAGUUGACGUUUGAGCCUGCUGGCUUACUUCAGCCAACUUUGGCAGCGGAUAGAGGUUCAGAGGCAUCCAGUCUCAUCCAGGUAGCAAAGAGGCAAAGCCACAAGCACUGACGUGGCAGAGGGAUGCAGGGAUGCUGCCAGAGCCUCUGGGCCCUGUGAGGGUUGUGCUUGGGUAUCACCUGCUCCUCCAGCCCCCCUGCUCUGAGCUGGCUGAAAUGGGGGCCAAAACGUGCUGGGCCACUCCAAAGCACCCAGGGGCCAUAUCUGCUUUCUAUGAAUUUCAGUGGGAAGCAACCACUGCUGCGUGUCGCUCACUAACCCAGUUCCAAAGCCCAGGGGAAGGAUGGGCUGCGAUAAAGGGACAGCUGUGUGGAGAGAGCGGCUGAUGGAGGACUUUCAUGAUUUAUUUCCUGACAGCAACAACAACAACAAAAGAUAAAAUCAGCAUAUUCCAGGCUAAGCUGUGCUGCAACAAUCCCUCGUGGGACUUGAGCUGAGGCACCCCGAGGGAGAGGAAGAGACCAGGACAGAGGCUGGCUCCGACCCUUGCACCACGUAACAUCACUUUGGAGCUAAAGCCAGUGAACCCAGGGAGUGAGGGCUGCCUCCAGGCUGUCAAUCUGCGGCUCCCAGCAAGGGCUGGGCAACUCGUACUGCUCUCCUGGCCCUGGGAAGAAAACUUUGGUGUCGAAGGCUCCCCUGUGCCCUGCAGCAGGCACCCAGCACAUCCCAGCCUCAGCGCACACCGAAAUCCCUGGCACAACACCCCACACCACCAAUCCACACGCCGACAGACCCACAUCACCCAGGUUCCCCUCCUGCAGCUUGGGGGGGACCAGGCAGCGGGUUAAAUGCUGCUGCAGACAAGAAAUUUGCCUGUUUGUAAGGCUGAGCCCGGGGGGAGUGUGGGCAGCCCCACAGCGAUGCCCUCUGCGAGCCAUAACUCAGCCUGUGCGUCUGGGGUCAUCAGGCAUCCCGCUCUCAGCCGUGGGGUCCGCAUACCCUCUGCAGCUUUCCCAUCUCUGCAAAUAUGAUAAUAAAAGAUCAGUUUGCAGACACAGCUUGCUGUAGAUGACAGCAUUAGAGACGCAUCUGUUUCUACUAUGCACCAGUCUCAUGCUGGGUUUAUUUGGUCCAUUUGCGGCAGGGAAGAGUUGCUUUCGGCAUUCAGAGAUGUCUCGUGUCUGGGAGAAGGUGGGGGGGAGGAUAUAUUUUUGGCUCUAUUUAGCCACAAAAAUUUGGUUUUAGAAUAAAAAAAAAAAAAACAAUCAGUUUUCUGCUUGCUGCCAAACUGAUUUCUUGUGCAAGCCUUCAUUUGUUUGAGAACUCUGUGUCCUGUUGGAAAAAUAAAUGCUCUGAUGGGAAAAGUCUAUCAAGCGUGUAUUGAUCAGUCAUCGGUGGACUUGCAAACAUCAGCUUCAUCCAAACUGAAAAAGCAGUUGCCAAAGUUUUUGCCAAUACUUGAGAGGCAGAAGGAGACAAGUCUUCGCUUUCUCGGUAAGUGAAGAACCAGUUACAGAGCACAAUCCUUUCUGUGGGCACAGUUGUUCUGGCCUCCCCAUGGCUGGCACGAAUUUUCAGUGCCAACUACACUCCUUUUUCACCCAGAAUGAGCUCUUUGCUCAUUGCUGAGAGCCAAACAUUGCUGGUGGCCACGAGCAGGACGCAGCGAUGCAGGAAGGAGAGCAGUGGGGAAAAAGCCUGGGAUGUGGCUCCUGCUUGGGAUACUCCCCGCUGCUGGCAGCAAUAUCUCCCCAUCCUGGGGCUAUAAGCUAAGGCCAGACACACAGACAAGGGCUCCCAGCGCUUGGUUUUCCCCAGUGAUAGUUUCACAAACGUCUACAGAGUUUUCCUAAUAGAUUUUCCCCACCCCCAAAGAUUUUUAAUUAAGCCUUUACAACCUCAACUCACUUCAAACAAUUUAUUUUUCUUCUUUUGGUAAAGAAAUAUUAUGAUAAGGAAGAAUAAAACAGCUGUUUUACCUGAGCUGCCUUCAUUUUAUAGCAGAUUAAAAGCAAGAUUGAAAGUCAAUAAUGCCUGGAAGGGGCAGAGGGGGGAUCAGAUGAUGAAUACAAUGUACAAAGGCAGCAGAGAAGAGGUUGGGGGCUGGAAAGACAAAAGCUUAUCAGGAUUGAAGCCUCAAAAGCAGAAUCAGCUCCUCAGAUGAUAGAAAUCACCUGGACUCUGCUGACAUGCUGGUAUUGCUGUAGCACAGCUUUUAUGUAUUGAUUUAAGGGAAAGUGAAGGUCAGGGGCUUAACUGCAGAGGAGGCAUCAGGACUGAAGCCCUUCUGCCCUGGAUGGGCAGUGAUGAGCAACAAGGAGGAUCUGCAUUCAGGCAAGGUUGGACACGGGCUGGAAAGGACCCUGAGGCAAACGUGCACACACUGGAGCUAUGACAGCCCCGGUGACUGGGAGCAGAGCCCCUCACAGCCCACUGACAGGAGCCAACUGGAGCCCCAGUUUGCUGCCUUAACUCAGGCAGAGUCGCCCUGAGCUUAGGGAAAAUCCAGAUUUCAGCCUGGACCUUACCAUCAGUAACUCUGACCUUUUUCCCUGUCUGGACUAACACAAAAAAUCCCAGAAAGGACAACGUGGGGCCAGCUGGAGAUGGUGCCUGCAAACGUUACAGUGCUGCUGGGAACAGGGUCACUGCACUGUGAACCUGGGUGUGCAAACAUCGCCUGCUAAAUCGGCUGCACGGGGGUGUUGUAGAUUUGGGGGAUAAAGGUUUCCUGAGCUGCAGAAAGGCCAGCUCUCUGCCUGGGGACCUUUGAGAGGGCGGAUUUUGUGAGAAAUGUUCUUUAUUUACUCAAUCAACCGCAGCCAGCAGCUGAGCUAAGAGCGGGUGAGUCUGCCCUUAGCAAGCGGCUGCGGAGGGCUGCUCGCCGCAAGGAGGUGUUUGCUGUCUGCACUGAGAUUUGUGAUGGUCCCAAAAGGCUCUUGGUGGGUAGGAGUGGGAAUUGGCUUAACCUUGUUAACUGCAUCCUCUGCACCAGCCAAAACCAUCCUUGGCUUUACAAGAAACACAGAAUUGGUAGUGAUAGCCCUCAUGGACCACGUAUGGUGUCACCAGCAGUUCUCCAAGGGAUGGGAUGCUCAUGAUCCUGAGGGCUGAAGGAUGUGGUCCCACCAUGCAGUCCUGCAGUUGCAUUCCUGCCGAGGAGAUGCCAUUUGCUUGAGGUGGAAGGGAGGAUUGAAACAUCUCCGCUCUUCUUCUUUCCAUCUCUGUUCCCACUAAAACACACUUUGGGAAAAAAACAAAAGGGAAAUGAAAUGAGGACCACGCCUGGAUAGGACAAGGAACAACAAUGAAAGAGGAAAACAAGAUGGGAAAAGGGAAAAAAAAGCAUCAAGAGAGAAUAUUUCUUUAGCGAAGACAUAAACUAAGGGACGAACCAACCUGCCCCGGCAUGUUCCCAUGACUGCAGCAGGUCCUAUCAGCCCCUGAGCAGCAGGAGGAGAUGCCCUGAGAGCAACUUCAGCAUCCAGCAUGCAGGGAAUGGAGCUGAGCGUGCAGGAGGAGCUGUUUCCAGAUGCCUCACAGCAUCCUCCCAAAAAGGUACCCAGCUUCCCUAGCCUCUUGCCUAGGCUUUCUGCUUGCUUUCAGCAUCUCUAGUGCUGCCCUGCCUGCCAGAGGGUCACCGCCUGCGAUUCUGUCACUGCAUAGGAUUGCUUUCCCUGUUUGGCAAAGAAAACAAGCAGCCAAAGGCCUGUAGGGGCUGUGAACUUGCCUGUCACGUUCUCUGACAGUAUCAAAACCUUUUGUUGCUUGUUUUUUUCCCAAACUGUCACCGCUCAUCAAACCCCUUGUUUAAAUCUUUGAUCCUGAAAGCUUUCCUGAGCCCUCUGCAAAACAAAGGGAAAGUGCGUGGUCUGUUCUCCAAGGAGAUUGGACACCACCUCAAAAGCAAAGAGGCUGACGAUGCCAGAGCUCCCUACAGCAGGUACAGCAGAGCCAAGCGUUCGUGCUGUGCUGUGUGGCUGCCAGAGGUGGGAGGAAGGCAGCCUGCUAACCCCCAGCUUCCUCCUCUCUCUCAAACCCCUCAGCUCCUGCUUUUCGGCUCAGGGAAGGACGGAAGGGAAAGGAGAGGGCUCAGCCCUCUUGUUUGCUCUCUGCUGAGCAGCACUGUUCUCUCGCCCCCAUUUCCCCUAUUGCUGCUAUUUGCUAUUUGACCUGAGCAGCCCAGAGGAAUUUUAGUCACGGUGCAUUCCUAGCACAGCAUCUGUUUUCUAGAGCAAAACAGGAACAGCUGCCAAGAAACAAAUCUUCCCUUGAUGCCUGGCACUUCUCAUGGGUGGAACGAAGCUUCUUGGAAAAGGGAAAACCACCAGAGCUCAGCUGCCGCAAACCCCAUCCCACUCUACCCCGCACCCUCCAGGGAUUUCUGCAGUGCAAGGGGGCUCAGACAGAGACUAAUUAUCAUCAUGAUAGCAUCCAUGUGGUACCACUUUGAAAGCCUUGAGUGAAAGAGAAGCUAAAGAGAGAUCUCUUCAUCGAGCUAAAGAGCUCUGUGGCAAAGAGAGUACUCCGGCUGACCCCCUAGUCCCAGCACCCAAGUCCAGCUGUGCCCAGUGUCCUUCUACCUGUCCAAGCC